GGGGAAACGGCAUUGAGUGCUUGCACUCUUUGGACGUCGACCGGCGCACGGGUGAGUAACGCGUAUCCAACCUUCCCAUUACUGUGGGAUAACCUGCCGAAAGGCAGACUAAUACCGCAUAGUCUUCGAUGACGGCAUCAGAUUUGAAGUAAAGAUUUAUCGGUAAUGGAUGGGGAUGCGUCUGAUUAGCUUGUUGGCGGGGUAACGGCCCACCAAGGCUACGAUCAGUAGGGGUUCUGAGAGGAAGGUCCCCCACAUUGGAACUGAGACACGGUCCAAACUCCUACGGGAGGCAGCAGUGAGGAAUAUUGGUCAAUGGACGGAAGUCUGAACCAGCCAAGUAGCGUGCAGGAUGACGGCCCUAUGGGUUGUAAACUGCUUUUGUAUGGGGAUAAAGUUAGGGACGUGUCCCUAUUUGCAGGUACCAUACGAAUAAGGACCGGCUAAUUCCGUGCCAGCAGCCGCGGUAAUACGGAAGGUCCAGGCGUUAUCCGGAUUUAUUGGGUUUAAAGGGAGCGUAGGCUGGAGAUUAAGUGUGUUGUGAAAUGUAGACGCUCAACGUCUGAAUUGCAGCGCAUACUGGUUUCCUUGAGUACGCACAACGUUGGCGGAAUUCGUCGUGUAGCGGUGAAAUGCUUAGAUAUGACGAAGAACUCCAAUUGCGAAGGCAGCUGACGGGAGCGCAACUGACGCUUAAGCUCGAAGGUGCGGGUAUCAAACAGGAUUAGAUACCCUGGUAGUCCGCACAGUAAACGAUGGAUGCCCGCUGUUGGUACCUGGUAUCAGCGGCUAAGCG
rnacentral:rRNA from 1 species